rnacentral:lncRNA from 1 species
UGGCAAAAAAGAGAGUUAAGACUAUGUAACCAGCAGAGAAUGAAGUUAAAAAAAGACAGAAAAAGAUGAGGAUUUUCCUGAAAGUUGUGUUAAAUAAGAAUGGCAAGAGAUUAAACAAAAAAUGGUUUUGUGACCGUUGUAAAUAACGCAUGGUUACAUGCAAGAUAGGUGUUAUUUUCUUCAUGGAUUUCCAGAUAAGGGAGGCAAGGAAACCAAAGCUAUGCUAGUUAAGGCAUUGAACUCACAGAGUGAAGAAGAAACCAAGAAACAAUCUGAGAAAGUUGAAAACACAAAAUUAACUGAUAAUGAGAAUGAAACUCUGAAAAAAUGGAUGGAUAAGGAAAAGAUUGAUAUGAUUUUUUACUUGAUCUUUUUUAUGAAAAUCAUGAUCUGUUUUGCAGGUUUUUUUUAAAAACAGAAGCAAAUAAUUUAGAAUCUAAGAUAAAUCCUAAAUUAAAUGAUGCAUGUGCACACACCCAUAUGUUACAACUUAAUUGUGACUCAUUAAUAUGAUAUUAAGGUAUCUUUUAUGCCUACCUCUUGUGUCUUGCAGGAAGCAACCUCACUUCAAGUGUUUGGACAGUGUAGCUUGAUUGAGGGACUUUAUGUUUUAUCUGUUGAAUUUUUAAAUAGCCAUAGUGUUUUACACAAACUAAAUGUGGUUAUUCCUUUUGAUACCAGCUGACACUCGAUCCAGAUUAGGACAUGCUUUUACUAAAAAGUUAAAUUUUAGUAGUCACAAUUUGUGAGUGGUCAUAUAUAUCUUAGUAGCGUUUUAAUUGUAUACCAGAUAAAGUGAGGUCAGACAAGGAUUUACGUACGGAGCUCCUCAACAUUAACCAUCUUCGUCAUUACGUUUGACAUUCUUCACAAAUCAACAGAUCGGAUCGUCGACGACGUCUCUGAUACCACCUGAUAGCUAGCGGAAGCGGAAUUGGAAUUGAAAAUAGUACCUGGCCUUCACAGGAGCGAAGUACGAUCUGUCAAUGGAUGGAGGAAGAAUACGAUAUAUAGAUGAUUAUCAUCGUAGAGAUCGAGGGAUGAUCGGAGAUAAGAAUGACUGGAAUUCACCAACGGAAGAUUAGAAAUACGAUCAAAACUGCCUCCACUAACCG